rnacentral:rRNA from 1 species
AGUGAACGCUGGCGGUAGGCCUAACACAUGCAAGUCGAACGGCAGCACAGUAAGAGCUUGCUCUUACGGGUGGCGAGUGGCGGACGGGUGAGGAAUACAUCGGAAUCUACUUUUUCGGGGGGGAUAACGUAGGGAAACUUACGCUAAUACCGCAUACGACCUACGGGUGAAAGCAGGGGAUCUUCGGACCUUUCGCGAUUGAAUGAGCCGAUGUCGCAUUAGCUAGUUGGCGUGGUAAAGGCCCACCAAGGCGACGAUCCGUAGCUGGUCUGAGAGGAUGAUCGGCCACACUGGAACUGAGACACGGUCCAGACUCCUACGGGAGGCAGCAGUGGGGAAUAUUGGACAAUGGGCGAAAGCCUGACCCAGCCAUACCGCGUGGGUGAAGAAGGCCUUCGGGUUGUAAAGCCCUUUUGUUGGGAAAGAAAAGCAGCAGGUUAAUACCCCGCUGUUCUGACGGUACCCAAAGAAUAAGCACCGGCUAACUUCGUG